GAUGAACGCUGGCGGCGUGCCUAAUACAUGCAAGUCGAGCGAACGGACGAGAAGCUUGCUUCUCUGAUGUUAGCGGCGGACGGGUGAGUAACACGUGGAUAACCUACCUAUAAGACUGGGAUAACUUCGGGAAACCGGAGCUAAUACCGGAUAAUAUUUUGAACCGCAUGGUUCAAAAGUGAAAGACGGUCUUGCUGUCACUUAUAGAUGGAUCCGCGCUGCAUUAGCUAGUUGGUAAGGUAACGGCUUACCAAGGCAACGAUGCAUAGCCGACCUGAGAGGGUGAUCGGCCACACUGGAACUGAGACACGGUCCAGACUCCUACGGGAGGCAGCAGUAGGGAAUCUUCCGCAAUGGGCGAAAGCCUGACGGAGCAACGCCGCGUGAGUGAUGAAGGUCUUCGGAUCGUAAAACUCUGUUAUUAGGGAAGAACAUAUGUGUAAGUAACUGUGCACAUCUUGACGGUACCUAAUCAGAAAGCCACGGCCAACUACGUGCCAGCAGCCGCGGUAAUACGUAGGUGGCAAGCGUUAUCCGGAAUUAUUGGGCGUAAAGCGCGCGUAGGCGGUUUUUUAAGUCUGAUGUGAAAGCCCACGGCUCAACCGUGGAGGGUCAUUGGAAACUGGAAAACUUGAGUGCCGAAAAGGAAAGUGAACUUCCCUGUGUAGCGGUGACAUGCGCAGAAAUAUGGAGGAACCCCAUUGGCAAAGCGACUUUCUGGUCUGUAACUGACCCUGAUGUGCGAAAGCGUGGGGAUCAAACAGGAUUAUAUACCCUGGUAGGUCCACGCCGUAGACUAUGACUUCUGACUGUUUAGGGGUUUUCCGCCCCGCAUUGCUCCAACUAACUCAGUAUUCAGUCCGCCUGGGUAGUGCGACCGCGACGUUUGAACUCAAAGGAAUUGACGGGGACCCGCACAACCGGUGGAGCAUGUGGUUUAAUUCGAAGCAACGGGAAGAACCUUACCAAAUCUUGACAUCCUUUGACAACUCUAGAGAUAGAGCCUUCCCCUUCGGGGGACAAAGUGACAGGUGGUGCAUGGUUGUCGUCAGCUCGUGUCGUGAGAUGUUGGGUUAAGUCCCGCAACGAGCGCAACCCUUAAGCUUAGUUGCCAUCAUUAAGUUUGGGCACUCUAAGUUGACUGCCGGUGACAAACCGGAGGAAGGUGGGGAUGACGUCAAAUCAUCAUGCCCCUUAUGAUUUGGGCUACACACGUGCUACAAUGGACAAUACAAAGGGCAGCGAAACCGCGAGGUCAAGCAAAUCCCAUAAAGUUGUUCUCAGUUCGGAUUGUAGUCUGCAACUCGACUACAUGAAGCUGGAAUCGCUAGUAAUCGUAGAUCAGCAUGCUACGGAGAAUACGUUCCCGGGUCU
rnacentral:rRNA from 1 species